rnacentral:RNase_P_RNA from 1 species
UGAGUAAUCCAGGCAAUCGCGUACCGGCUUGACCGGUAUGAGGAAAGUCCGGGCUGCGCAGGGCAAGGAUAGCAGAUAACGUCUGCCGGGGGCGACCCUAGGAAUAGUGCAACAGAGAUAUACCGCCGGGAUUUCCCGGUAAGGGUGGAAAGGCGAGGUAAGAGCUCACCACGCCCCAUGGUAACAUGGGGGGUCUGUAAACUCUAUCCGCAGCAACGUCAACCGGGGCAAUGGACGGCCCGUCCGUCCCGACCGACGGCUUGAGGCGCACGGUGACGCGCGUCCCAGAUAGAUGAUUGCCAAAUACAGAACCCGGCUUAUAGGGUUGCUCACUCC